rnacentral:rRNA from 1 species
GAUGAACGCUAGCGGCAGGCCUAAUACAUGCAAGUCGGACGGGAUUCAGGAGCUUGCUUCUGAUGAGAGUGGCGCACGGGUGCGUAACACGUAUGUAACCUACCUUUAUCAGGGGGAUAGCCUCUCGAAAGAGAGAUUAAGCCCGCAUAAAAUCACAGCACAGCAUUGUGUAAUGAUCAAAUAUUUAUAGGAUAAAGAUGGGCAUGCGGAACAUUAGCUAGAUGGCGGGGUAACGGCCCACCAUGGCGACGAUGUUUAGGGGAUCUGAGAGGAUGGCCCCCCACACUGGUACUGAGACACGGACCAGACUCCUACGGGAGGCAGCAGUAAGGAACAUUGGUCAAUGGGCGGAAGCCUGAACCAGCCAUGCCGCGUGCAGGAAGACGGCCCUACGGGUUGUAAACUGCUUUUAUACGGGAAUAAACCCAGAUACGUGUAUCUGGCUGAAUGUACUGUAAGAAUAAGGAUCGGCUAACUCCGUG